rnacentral:pre_miRNA from 1 species
UUAGUGCGAGUUUUUUGACGUUAAGUUGGAACGUUUGCCUACGUUUGCCGCUAGGGGCGCUGUUCCAAAUGCAAACAAAUUUGAGCUA